rnacentral:rRNA from 1 species
UAGGGAAUUUUUCACAAUGAGCGAAAGCUUGAUGGAGCAAUGCCGCGUGAACGAUGAAGGUCUUUAAGAUUGUAAAGUUCUUUUAUUUGGGAAGAAUGACUUUAGCAGGUAAUGGCUAGAGUUUGACUGUACCAUUUUGAAUAAGUGACGACUAACUAUGUGCCAGCAGUCGCGGUAAUACAUAGGUCGCAAGCGUUAUCCGGAUUUAUUGGGCGUAAAGCAAGCGCAGGCGGAUUGAAAAGUCUGGUGUUAAAGGCAGCUGCUUAACAGUUGUAUGCAUUGGAAACUAUUAAUCUAGAGUGUGGUAGGGAGUUUUGGAAUUUCAUGUGGAGCGGUGAAAUGCGUAGAUAUAUGAAGGAACACCAGUGGCGAAGGCGGAAACUUAGGCCAUUACUGACGCUUAGGCUUGAAAGUGUGGGGAGCAAAUAGGAUUAGAUACCCUAGUAGUCCACACCGUAAACGAUAGAUACUAGCUGUCGGGGCGAUCCCCUCGGUAGUGAAGUUAACACAUUAAGUAUCUCGCCUGGGUAGUACAUUCGCAAGAAUG